rnacentral:rRNA from 1 species
CGUGUAGGCGGCUUGGUAAGUCCGGUGUGAAAUCUUGGGGCUCAACCCCAAGCCUGCACUGGAUACUGCCUCGCUUGAGUCCGGGAGGGGAGAGCGGAAUUCCUAGUGUAGCGGUGAAAUGCGCAGAUAUUAGGAAGAACACCGGUGGCGAAGGCGGCUCUCUGGAACGGUACUGACGCUGAGACGCGAAAGCGUGGGGAGCGAACA